rnacentral:rRNA from 1 species
AGCGAACGCUGGCGGCAGGCUUAACACAUGCAAGUCGAGCGGGCAUAGCAAUAUGUCAGCGGCAGACGGGUGAGUAACGCGUGGGAACGUACCUUUUGGUUCGGAACAACACAGGGAAACUUGUGCUAAUACCGGAUAAGCCCUUACGGGGAAAGAUUUAUCGCCGAAAGAUCGGCCCGCGUCUGAUUAGCUAGUUGGUGAGGUAAUGGCUCACCAAGGCGACGAUCAGUAGCUGGUCUGAGAGGAUGAUCAGCCACAUUGGGACUGAGACACGGCCCAAACUCCUACGGGAGGCAGCAGUGGGGAAUAUUGGACAAUGGGCGCAAGCCUGAUCCAGCCAUGCCGCGUGAGUGAUGAAGGCCCUAGGGUUGUAAAGCUCUUUUGUGCGGGAAGAUAAUGACGGUACCGCAAGGAUAAGCCCCGGCUAACUUCGUGC